AGGGUCUUGCGAUGAGGGCGCCCAGUUCAGACCAGUCCCGCUUCGUCCUCGACACUGGGAUAUUCCCAUCUCCGGUGUCUCGGGGCUCCCCUGCCCGGCGGGGACUCGGUGCCCACCCGGGGAGGGGGUGGCAGCCUGGGUGCCCCCCAGUCCCGCAGCUCCCAUGGGAUGGGGCUCGCUGGGUGUCCCCCCAGUGUCAGACAGCGGGUUUGCCUGAGGAGACCCCCACGAUGGGGCUGCAGCCUUCGUCCUCCUCCUCUGCAUCGCCCCACGUUACCCAGACGGGGCCACAGCCUUCAUCCCCCCUCCUUUGCAUCACCUUGUGUCCCCCAAAUGAGGCCGCACCUUCGUCCCCUUCAUCUUCAUCACCCCACGUCCCCCAGACAGGGCCACAGCCUUCAUCCCCCUCCUCUCCCUCGCCCCACAUUACCCAGAUGGGCCUCAGCCUUCGUCCCGCUCCUCUCCCUUGCCCCAUGUCCCCCAGACAGGGCUACAGCCUUCGUCCCCCUCCUCUGCAUCGCCCCGUGUUUGCCCAGACAGGGCCACAGCCUUCGUCCCCCUCCUCUUCAUCACCUCAUGUCCCCCAGAUGGGGCUACAGCCUUCUUCCCCCUCAUCUGCAUCACCCCACAUCCCUCGGACGGUUCCAUAGCCUUCAUCCCCCUCCUCUCCCUCGCCCCGUGUCCCCCAGACGGGUCCACAGCCUUCGUCCCCCUCCUCUUCAUCACCUCGUGUCCCCCAGACGGGUCCACAGACUUCGUCCCCCUCCUCUUCCUCACCCCACGGCGAUGCUCCCAUGGGCUCCGCGGGGUGCCCGCCCGCAAACCCCCCUCGCACACCCACGUGCCCAGGCGCUGCCUCACGCACCCUCAACCCUCCCUCGCACGCCCACGCCCGCACGCUCCCUUGCACGCCCGCACGCUCCCUUGCACGCCCGCACGCACACUUUCCCCGGCUCCUUUUCUUUGCCGUUCCUAUGGCAACCCCUCCAAGGCACACAACCGCUCUCCGAUUGGAAAUAAAAGUUGUUUUUCCUCCCCUCCUCCUUUACUCCACUCUUUCGCUCCCCCCCCCCCCCUUAUUUUGAUUUCCAUUUGGAUCAUAAUCCGCCCGUUGCUAUGGCAGCGCUGGCAGCCCUUUAUGUCCCAGCCCUUGCAGAAAAGGCCUCUCUCCCCCUUUUUCCCUUCCCUGCGCCUUCCCCGAGUGGGUUUGCUCUUUAAAUCCCUCCUUCCCGCCAUCCCCUGGCAGCAGCGACCCCCCCGCCGCCGCAUCCCAGCCCGGCA
rnacentral:lncRNA from 1 species